GCGGUAAUGGUGAAACGGUAUCACACCUGGUUUCCAACCAGAGGUUCGGGGUUCAAGUCCCUGUUACCGCU
rnacentral:tRNA from 1 species